AUGAACAAAAUUACUUUGUCUUAUAGCAUACUCCAACUCUUACUGAUGUUAGUUACUCAAGAGAUUGUGAACUAUCAUUCUUUUUUUUUUUUUAAAGAUUGGCACCUGCGAUAACAUCUGUUGCCAAUAUUUUUUUUUUCCUUCUUCUCCCCAAAGCCCCCCUAGUACAUAGUUGUAUGUUCGAGUUGUGAGUGCCUCUGGUUGUACUAUGUGGGACGCCACCUCAGCAUGGCCUGAUGAGUGGUGCCAUGUCCGUGCCCAGGAUCCAAACUGGCAAAACCCGGGGCCACCAAAGUGGAGCGUGUGAACUUAACCACUUGGCCAUGGGGCCGGCCCCUGUGUCAUUUUUAAAGUACAGUAGUUGCUAAGGAAAAUAUGUCCCCUUCUUAUUUAAUUCUGUAUCAUUUUCUUUCUAGGGUUUCCCAAAAUGUCAUUUUAAUCUUAGCAGAAUGCUGGUGGAAGGAUACCACAAGCAUGAAAACCUUUGUAAAACAAGACUAUCCAUCUACAGCAUAUUUUGUUUGAUGUGAGAUCCUAGGAAAGAGAGCUCCAGAUGAAUUUUAACUGUCUAAUGACAGAUUUUAUGACUGAGGCAUUAUGAAAUCUGCUAUCAAGGCACAAGACCAAUAAGAGAAUGUGUGGUAUAGAAAGUCAAACAGCCUCAUGCCAAAUCUGUUACAGUCUCAUGGAUCUAUCCUGAGCUUUGGGAUCAGAGCCCUGAGUAUUGAGAGCCUAACCUGUGCCAGGUACCUGCUAGACACUGGGUGCAGAAUGCCUCAUAAAGCUGACAGAGCAGACUGUGAAACCUAUUCAUUGUGUGGCCUGUCCAAUGAAUUACAUUUGUUUCCAAGUUCUGAAAGAUGCUCUCAACAAGCACAAGGUGAGCCAGCAUUUUCCUCAUUGGAUCACCAGUGGGGCAGAAGCCUUGGGCUUCACAUGAGGAAAGUCCACUUUAGCAACCUGAGGAACAUCUUGCCUCCAAAGAAUUCAGUCAGGGAUGUUGCCCCAAAUUGUGAUGAAUUAUUCUUUCAUUUUCCCGCUUGCUUUAUUCUAAUGCCUGGUGGAGGAUGUUCACCUCCUCCUCCUAGCUAGUUGACAGAUACUCUGGUGAGCCUGAGCAAUUGCUGCUGCUGCCCGCCUACCUCUUUUUGCCUGGUUUAACAACACUAGUACUUUAUUAUUCACAGUAUCAUUAAUUAAUUAAUAAGACAGUUGGUGAUGAUAUUAAGGAAGCUGGAACCACUUCAAUUUAGAUCGACACUACUCAAGACAUUGGCACAACUGAUGUUUGUUCAGAAAUAAUAGAGUAUGGCAGGGAAUCUGGGAGAGAAUAAGAGAGGGCUAAUUUGGACCCAACUAAUUAGAAUAUCAUCAUCAUUUGGAUAGAGAGUAACUUAGUAUUUAACUUUUUACAAGUAUAAAAAUGAUUCCUGAAGCAGUGCCAUAAAGUAGUGAUUCUCAUUGGGGAUAGGGAGCUAUAGCAGAAUCUGUUACCCAGAAGCAUGCCAGGUUUGAAAAAGUAUAUUUAUUAUACCUAUUUCUUACAUAAGGCAGAAGGGAAAGCGGGAUAGAACUUCUUGACUGGGAGAGAGGGAAUAUGUAGAAUAUAGAGUGAGAAAUCAGUGCAGGAGGCAUGUAGAGUAGGAACAAAAAGUCAAGAAACACAGUGAGUGUAUAAAUUAAAUAUUUGGAAGAGUAUUUAACUUAUUCAUGAGAACCAACUAUUUUCAAGAACUUUGGCAUAUAUUAUAUAUUUUUAAAAGUCCUGGUUACCAUGGAUUUUAAUAGUCGGUACAGCAAAAUUUUCUUCUUUAUUUUUCAUUACUUUGAGCUUAAUUGGAGAAAGUACCGUGGUGUAGCAGACAGCAUGCUACUGAGAUUGUUAUACUGGCUUUGUUGCUAUGCUGCAGUUAAAAUCAAUGAACAUUUUGGCGAUCAUACUGAGUAUGUGUUGUAGGACCUAUGAGAGCUCACUUCUUCCUUGAACCUGUUUCCUCACUGUAGGUUCCAGUUACUAUUGCUGUGUAUCAAGCCACCCCAAAACUUGGUGGCAUCACACACCUAUGGUAUCCUGCUCACAGAUGUGGGUCAG
rnacentral:lncRNA from 1 species